rnacentral:rRNA from 1 species
UUUUUGCCUCAAUUAUGUAUGAAUACCCGCUGAACUUAAGCAUAUCGUUAAGCGGAGGAAAAGAAACUAAAUAGGAUUUCCAUAGUAACUGCGAGUGAAUUGGAAUUAGCCCAUCACGAAAUCUAUAUUACAUUAGUAAUAUUAGAAAUGUCGUGUAUAGGUUUUAUUAUUAUCAAUAAAUUUCUAUUAAAUAAUUGUAUUUAAAUAUACAGCCACAGAAGGUGCCAGCCCUGUUGUUUAAUAGAAUUUGUUGAAUUUAUAAAACUUUAGAGUCGUGUUGCUUGGAAGUGCAGCGCAAAGUUGGUGAUAAACAUCAUCUAAGGCUAAAUAUUCCUAUGAAUCCGAUAGCGAACAAGUACUGUGAAGGAAAAUUGCAAAGUACUCCGGAGAGAGAGUUAAAGAGGACGUGAAACCGAUACGAUGGAAGCAUACAGAGCCAGUUGCACUAUUAUUAAUUUUUAUUAAUAAUUUUAAGCAUGGGUAUAUUGAAUAAUAAUUAGUUAUUUAUUAAAGAGUGAUAAAAAUCUUGUAUUUUUGUUAACUUUAAUAAAAUAAUUAUUAUUAUUAUUUAAUAUUUUAUUUAUUAAUUUAUCUAAUAUACAUUUAAAUAUUAUUAUUUUAUAAAACACAUGUGUUGAUAUAUUAUAUUUAAUAUUUAUUUGUAUAUUGUAUAUUAAUAAACCUAUGUAAUCCUGGUAUGCUGUAUGUCCCGUCUUGAAACACGGACCAAGGAGUGUAUUGCUAUGGCAAGUCAUUGAUAUUGUUAAUAUCAAAGGCAUAAUGAAAAUGAAUAUUAAUCUCAGAUCUUGUUAUUAUUUAUAAUAAGCGCAUGAGAGACGUAAAUAUAUGAUUUAUUCAUUUUUUGCAGUUAUAGCCAUAGUAGUGCGACCCGAAAGAUGGUGAACUAU